GGAAUCCAAUGACCUCAAGGGCUUCCCAGGCCAAGGCUGGAGAUCAGCUGUAGGCUUGGAACAUGGUUAGGAGGCAGCACAUUUUGCUAGUCCAUGCCUGCAGGGUCUGUCCAGGACAGUGGGGGCAGCCAUGGGUUCGCAGAGCGAUUUCUGCCCCUUCGGAGGGGGAAGCUGUGGCUAGCAGUGGAGAGUGGAUCAAGUGAUCUGUAGCUUUUGCUUUGAUUAGGUCUCUCUGAACGAGGGUGCCCACCAGCUUCGCCUGUACCACAGUGGCCCUGCCACGGACCAGCUGUUCUCUGUCGGUGCCCUCACCUCUGCAGGACGGUAACCCCUCGCGCCUGGCUCCCGGCCAGCUCACUCCCUUCUUGUGUGUGUCUUGUCUCUGUAACGUCCCGUGCUUUGCUGCGGACUGUGCAGGCUCUCACCCCUGUGCUGCUCCUCUCCCCACAGGUAUGUCCCAUGUGCCAGCCUGCUAGUCAGGCUGCUCAAAGCCCCCGUGGACUCCAGCCAUCAAACCCUGCAGAGAAGCAUGGUUCCCCAGGGGGACUGGGUCAGACUCGGCCUCUUCCAGCCCAGGCCUGACUAUUCAGACGGGAUCUAUUAUUCAGACUCGGUCGUGCCCACCGCCGGGGAGAGGUGCCUCUACAGCGCCAUGGGAAACAGGUCUGCAGUGCUGGUUCGGGAGAUUGUCCCUCAGCUUGUGGGAAACGAAGGCCCGGAGCUGAAUACAGAUGCGGAGAUCUCUACUUGGAUCAAAGAGAAACUGACCAGGACGAUGGACUGCAGCCCUCAGCCUUUCAAUCUUACCUAUGUCUCUCGAUACCUCCCUACAUACGGCAUUAAGGUGAUUCAAGGAGUGUGUUUCUCAGUCCGAGAACAGCUGUUGGGCCCCACAUAGGUAAUGGAAUGACUGUACUAUUCGCUUGCUUCAACAAUCUGAUUGUUCUCCUGGCACCAGGGGAGAGUGUCCAAGACCACGAUCAGUGCAAAGGGUGUCGUGCCACACACCUGCUGUGUUUGUGUAGGUUCCACACCGGGCUAGGAUGGAGCUGGUCCCGGGUGAUACGCAGAGACACACUGCACGCAUCCUGCUUUGGGGCCCCACCGCUUUCUAGAGAAUUUAA
rnacentral:lncRNA from 1 species